AGUGAACGCUGGCGGUAGGCCUAACACAUGCAAGUCGAACGGCAGCACAGUAAGAGCUUGCUCUUACGGGUGGCGAGUGGCGGACGGGUGAGGAAUACAUCGGAAUCUACUUUUUCGUGGGGGAUAACGUAGGGAAACUUACGCUAAUAGCGCAUACGACCUACGGGUGAAAGCAUGGGAUCUUCGGACCUUGCGCGAUUGAAUGAGCCGAUGUCGGAUUAGCUAGUUGGCGGGGUAAAGGCCCACCAAGGCGACGAUCCGUAGCUGGUCUGAGAGGAUGAUCAGCCACACUGGAACUGAGACACGGUCCAGACUCCUACGGGAGGCAGCAGUGGGGAAUAUUGGACAAUGGGCGAAAGCCUGAUCCAGCCAUACCGCGUGGGUGAAGAAGGCCUUCGGGUUGUAAAGCCCUUUUGUUGGGAAAGAAAAGCAGCAGGUUAAUACCCCGCUGUUCUGACGGUACCCAAAGAAUAAGCACCGGCUAACUUCGUG
rnacentral:rRNA from 1 species